GAUGAACGCUAGCUACAGGCUUAACACAUGCAAGUCGAGGGGAAACGAUAUUGGAAGCUUGCUUCCGAUAGGCGUCGACCGGCGCACGGGUGAGUAACGCGUAUCCAACCUGCCCAUCACUUGGGGAUAACCUUGCGAAAGUAAGACUAAUACCCAAUGAUAUCUCUAGAAGACAUCUGAAGGAGAUUAAAGAUUUAUCGGUGAUGGAUGGGGAUGCGUCUGAUUAGCUUGUUGGCGGGGUAACGGCCUACCAAGGCGACGAUCAGUAGGGGGUUCUGAGAGGAAGGUCCCCCACAUUGGAACUGAGACACGGUCCAAACUCCUACGGGAGGCAGCAGUGAGGAAUAUUGGUCAAUGGGCGAGAGCCUGAACCAGCCAAGUAGCGUGCAGGAAGACGGCCCUAUGGGUUGUAAACUGCUUUUAUAAGGGAAUAAAGUGAGCCUCGUGAGGCUUUUUGCAUGUACCUUAUGAAUAAGGACCGGCUAAUUCCGUGCCAGCAGCCGACGG
rnacentral:rRNA from 1 species